UACGAAGGGUCCGAGCGUUGUCCGGAAUUACUGGGCGUAAAGCGCGCGCAGGCGGCCCGCGAGGUGUCACGUGAAAGCCCCGGGCUCAACCCGGGAGGGUCGUGGCAAACCGGCGGGCUUGAGGCCGGUAGAGGUGGGUGGAACUCCUGGUGGAGUGGUGAAAUGCGUAGAGAUCAGGAAGAACACCCGUUGCGAAGGCGGCCCACUGGGCCGGUACUGACGCUGUGGCGCGAAGGCGUGGGGAGCGAACGGG
rnacentral:rRNA from 1 species